rnacentral:rRNA from 1 species
UGGGGAAUAUUGGACAAUGGGCGAAAGCCUGAUCCAGCCAUGCCGCGUGUGUGAAGAAGGCCUUUUGGUUGUAAAGCACUUUAAGCGAGGAGGAGGCUACUUGGAUUAAUACUCUAGGAUAGUGGACGUUACUCGCAGAAUAAGCACCGGCUAACUCUGUGCCAGCAGCCGUGGUAAUACAGAGGGUGCGAGCGUUAAUCGGAUUUACUGGGCGUAAAGCGUGCGUAGGCGGCUUCUUAAGUCGGAUGUGAAAUCCCUGAGCUUAACUUAGGAAUUGCAUUCGAUACUGGGAAGCUAGAGUAUGGGAGAGGAUGGUAGAAUUCCAGGUGUAGCGGUGAAAUGCGUAGAGAUCUGGAGGAAUACCGAUGGCGAAGGCAGCCAUCUGGCCUAAUACUGACGCUGAGGUACGAAAGCAUGGGGAGCAAACAGG